UUUGUUCCUUCAUCUGUGAGACGAGGGUGAGUCCUCAGAACUAGUGUGAGACACUUGGAACUUGCUGUUUCCUGUGAACUGAAAUGUUCCCUGGUGGGUUUGUCAGGAGUGGGAGGAGGCUCAAGACUCAGGAAGAUAAUGAAAGUUACAAGGCUUGGAAAGCUCAUAAAAGUUACAAGAUUCACCAGUAAUUUCUGGGAGAAUUACUGUUCUCUGGCACCGAGCCCCAGUUGUGUAGGGACCAUUAGGGAUGUGGCUUCUGUGAGCUGAUCCUGAAUGACCAGCACAUAGAAAUACAAAUUCAGAACACAGGUUCAAUGGCAUCACACAGUUGCCAGUUUCCUGAAGUUUCUCAGAUAAAAUGGUCGUCUACUGAAAUUAACAAGAUGCCAAUGACUCAUGGGAUUGUCAGGAGUAGAAAACAUUGAAAGAACUAAAACAGAAAGAAACAAACAGACUGCUCCCCCCCCCCCCGCCCCCCCCCCCCCGCCGCACUCCCCCCCCAUCCCAAACAAAACAUCUGUUGGUGAGACACAAAUGGACCUGCACUUGAACAGUUUCAUGCUACUUAUGCAGCUGACGCUUUUCCUCUAAAGAAGGAAGUUGCAAACUAAAGAGACAUAUGAUACCUUCCAUUUAAUAACUGAUAGAAUGACAAGAGAAUAGAGAUUAUUUACCCCCACCUGAUGUAUUCUCCAUAUGUGGACUGUCGCUGUUGAAAUGGUCAACCA
ensembl:processed_transcript Gm12602 predicted gene 12602